rnacentral:rRNA from 1 species
AGUGAACGCUGGCGGUAGGCCUAACACAUGCAAGUCGAACGGCAGCACAGUAAGAGCUUGCUCUUACGGGUGGCGAGUGGCGGACGGGUGAGGAAUACAUCGGAAUCUACUUUUUCGUGGGGGAUAACGUAGGGAAACUUACGCUAAUACCGCAUACGACCUACGGGUGAAAGCAGGGGAUCUUCGGACCUUGCGUGAUUGAAUGAGCUGAUGUCGGAUUAGCUAGUUGGCGGGGUAAAGGCCCACCAAGGCGACGAUCCGUAGCUGGUCUGAGAGGAUGAUCAGCCACACUGGAACUGAGACACGGUCCAGACUCCUACGGGAGGCAGCAGUGGGGAAUAUUGGACAAUGGGCGAAAGCCUGAUCCAGCCAUACCGCGUGGGUGAAGAAGGCCUUCGGAUUGUAAAGCCCUUUUAUUGGGAAAGAAAAGCAGCAGGUUAAUACCCCGCUGUUCUGACGGUACCCAAAGAAUAAGCACCGGCUAACUUCGUG